rnacentral:pre_miRNA from 1 species
CCGAGACGGGCGGAUCCCGAGGUCAGGAGAUCGAGACCAUCCUGGCUAANUUAGCCAGGAUGGUCUCGAUCUCCUGACCUCGUGAUCCGCCCGUCUCGG